rnacentral:misc_RNA from 1 species
UACGGAGGGUGCGAGCGUUAAUCGGAAUUACUGGGCGUAAAGGGCACGUAGGCGGUUGCGUAAGUCGGGUGUGAAAGCCCCGGGCUCAACCUGGGAAUGGCAUUCGAUACUGCGUGACUCGAGUCUGGUAGAGGGAAGUGGAAUUCCGGGUGUAGCGGUGAAAUGCGUAGAUAUCCGGAGGAACACCGGUGGCGAAGGCGGCUUCCUGGACCAAGACUGACGCUGAGGUGCGAAAGCGUGGGGAGCAAACAGG